rnacentral:lncRNA from 1 species
AAAAAGAUUUUACAAUUAUGUUUAUUAAGAAAUUGGGUGUGAAAAUGAAAUCUUUUGGGUCCAAAUUAAUCCCACACAUAAAAUAAACAUCAUGAAAUUAGAUAUUAAGCAUUUAAAUGACCAAUAAACUGAAAUAAAAAUGUCGCAAUUAGGUUCACACAAAGAUAGCACUGAACACAUGAUGUAAUAUAAAAAGAUUUUGUGUAGAACCAAUCAUUAAAAGAGAACCGGCCUUCCAAUAAGUUCCACCAACAAUUAGGAGAAAAAAUGUGAAAGAAUUAAAAUCCCACUACGUCUACCGACGUGCAUAACAGAUAAAUAAAAAAAGAUAACCAUAUUAAAUCAGGAGGAGUAACAAAAAAUCAUUUUUCAAAUGGAAGCUAUUGAGGGUUUUUGGCCCCUUAAUUUGAACAAGUCUUAGUUUAGUCUGGAAGUGGGAAUGCGGGAAAAGAUUACAUGCGCCGAAUAAAGGCAAAAAGGCCAAAAUCGCUUUGCACGUAAAAGAAACCUAUCAUGCAUGAAUCCCACUUCCGCUUGCCUUCUGCUGUGAUGUUUAUUCAAUAACUGGAGGGAGGGAACACGUGACCUAAUUUUGGCCCCAUAAUUUUUUAGCCAAUGGCAGACAGUGUGCUGUGUGGCUCAACAGUGCUCUACUUUGACAAAUUUUAUAAGGAACAGGACUAAAUCAUCCAACUAGUUACAAUACAAAUAGCUUAUUAUAAAGUAAAGCUAUUUCAGUUUUUUUUUUCAUAAUUUUUAUCAAAAUCUUAUAACUUUAUUUUUUUUUUCAAAAAUAGUAUUGUUGAUCAUGGGUACAUUUACAUUUACAUUAUUGGCUUAG